AUUAGUGGCGAACGGGUGAGUAACACGUGAGUAACCUGCCCUUAACUCUGGGAUAAGCCUGGGAAACUGGGUCUAAUACCGGAUAGGAGCGUCCACCGCAUGGUGGGUGUUGGAAAGAUUUAUCGGUUUUGGAUGGACUCGCGGCCUAUCAGCUUGUUGGUGAGGUAAUGGCUCACCAAGGCGACGACGGGUAGCCGGCCUGAGAGGGUGACCGGCCACACUGGGACUGAGACACGGCCCAGACUCCUACGGGAGGCAGCAGUGGGGAAUAUUGCACAAUGGGCGAAAGCCUGAUGCAGCGACGCCGCGUGAGGGAUGACGGCCUUCGGGUUGUAAACCUCUUUCAGUAGGGAAGAAGCGAAAGUGACGGUACCUGCAGAAGAAGCACCGGCUAACUACGUGCCAGCAGCCGCGGUAAUACGUAGGGUGCGAGCGUUAUCCGGAAUUAUUGGGCGUAAAGAGCUCGUAGGCGGUUUGUCGCGUCUGUCGUGAAAGUCCGGGGCUUAACCCCGGAUCUGCGGUGGGUACGGGCAGACUAGAGUGCAGUAGGGGAGACUGGAAUUCCUGGUGUAGCGGUGGAAUGCGCAGAUAUCAGGAGGAACACCGAUGGCGAAGGCAGGUCUCUGGGCUGUAACUGACGCUGAGGAGCGAAAGCAUGGGGAGCGAACAGGAUUAGAUACCCUGGUAGUCCAUGCCGUAAACGUUGGGCACUAGGUGUGGGGACCAUUCCACGGUUUCCGCGCCGCAGCUAACGCAUUAAGUGCCCCGCCUGGG
rnacentral:rRNA from 2 species